rnacentral:lncRNA from 1 species
AAAAUAGAAAAUAAGGGUCAAGGACAGUGGACAUAUAACAAAUUGAAAGUUCAUAAGAUGGAGCAUCUGCAUACUAGGUACAAUGUAUGAUGCAUUCAGAUCUUAUUCCUUCUGAAAUAUAGUGAUUUAUAUAAAUAGUUAGUCUUCGUUUAGUAAUACCCAUGUCUCACAUUCUGCCUCUUUCUUACAGCAGUGACAAUAACCAAUCUAAGAUCAGCAUUCUAUCAUUAUACCUUCUGUUAUAAAUGUCAAUUAGCAGCAAUUUCAGUUGAAUUUUUUUAGGAACUGCCCAACCUUUUUUUAGUGUGUACCGGUAUGCUUUUUGUUUAAAUCUUUUUUUCACAUUUUUUUGUUCUCAAUAUAAUCAUCUCUCAUUUUAGGAUAUUUUUAUCCCUUGCAUGUUUUGUGUGUACUGUUAAAUUGUCAGAUUGUGAAUUAACUUUAAAGUUACCAUGUUCUUUAACCAUUUACUGCAUGAUACAUGCUUCACUUUGUAAUGGCUCAGUAUGUUGCAUUCUUCUGUAAAGAUACUUAUCAAAACAUGGUUAUGGUAAAAAAGGACAAGGAGACACUUUCUUUAAAACAUAACAUUUUUAAUCAUGUCAUUAUCUAUUAAUAUAAUUCAGUAACAUGCAAUAUUAACAAUACAAUAAUUGUCAAGUAAUAGCACUGCUCUAAAUGUAACAAAUUUCAACAAAUAAGUUCCUUAUAAUCACGAUAAUUAUUUUUACAGAUAAAUAUCUGUGAAUGCCAAAAAAGUAACCCAAAUUUUUUCCAAACCUUUUUAAAUCCAUUCCCAUAAAUUUCUUUGAAGAAAUAAUUUUUUUGGUUAGUGAUGCAUCCAAAAACCCCAAUGUAAUUUGUUUUAGGCUUGUGAUAACAAGCAUGCAUUUCUGAUGCCAACAAAAGGCUGUCACAACGACAGCAAACCGGAUUUAUUAACAUUUAUUUGUGUCCUGGCAAUAUCACAAGAACCAUUACUGAUGAAUGGUGAAAGUGAAAAUCGUCAAUAUCAAAUUUGACCUCCAUUUUGUCAUCAGUAUCAACAUAUUAAAAUUUGAAAAGCUUAGAUUGAAUGGUUCAUGAGUAAAUGCAACAACCUGAAUGGAAACGCCAUUUUACGAUCUUUCAAGAACCACAACUCCUGAACGGUAAAAGUCAAAAUCGUCAUUAUUGAACUUGACCUCUAUUUUGUCAUCCGUAACAACAUAUUAAAAUUUCAAAAGCUUUGGUUGAAUGGUUCAUGAGAAAAUGCACGGACACGACGGGAAACACCAUUUUUCAAUCUUUCAAGAACCAUAACUCCUGAACGGUAAAAGUCAAAAUCGUCAUUAUUGAACUUGACCUCCAUUUUGUCAUCAGUAACAGCAUAUUAAAAUUUCGGAAGCUUUGGUAGAACAGUUCAUGCAUAAAUGCACGGACACGACUGGAAACUCCAUUUUUCAAUCUUUCAAGAACCAUAACUCCUGAACGGUAAUAGUCAAAUUCGUCAUUAUUGAACUUGACCUCCAUUCUUUCAUAAGUAACAACAUAUUAAAAUUUGGGAAGCUUUGGUAGAACAGUUCAUGCGUAAAUGCACGGACAACUCCAUUUUUCAAUCUUUCAAG